CGGUAAUACCAGCUCUCCGAGUGGUGUGGAUGUUUAUUGGGCCUAAAGCAUCCGUAGCUGGCCAAGCCAGUCCCCUGUUAAACCCAACGAAUUAAUCGUUGGAUUGCGGGGGAUACUGCUCGGCUAGGGGACGAGAGAGGCCGACGGUAUUCUCGGGGUAGGGGUGAAAUCCUAUAAUCCCGGGAAGACCACCAGUGGCGAAGGCUGUCGG
rnacentral:rRNA from 1 species